CAGGUAUGAAUAACCCAGAGGGCAGAUACUUGUGAGCCUCUGGUGGGCUGCCCAGAGUGCCUGUCUACAUGCCCAGGAAUCAAGGCUCACAUACAAAGACUGUUGAUGCUUACGGUCAAAUUCACUUCUGCCAAGGAACGGAAACAACCGACAGAGGGGACAUUGCUCUAUCUACAUGAAGCCACAGCGACAAACACGUAGGAUCUGAACAUGAGGAGACAGGAUAAUCUGUGUCUGUGAUGGCACAUCAUGGACACAUCUGCGUAAACAGUUGCAGCCCGUUAAGUGCAGCCAAGGAUGUAGACAGAGCACAACCUCCCCCCUCGCUCAGACAGAAUGGCAGGGGCACACUCAGAACUUCCAUAUUCUUCCCUCUCUGAGUCAUGGCCACGGCAGCUUUUCCUUGUAAGACAAUGGUUGACGACGAGCUUUGUCUGAGACCCAAGCCGUCCUGCCCAUCGGGUUCCCUGUUACGGCUGCUCCCUACACUGCUCCAGCCCGCGCACCCCCACACCCCACUCCCAAGAGGGGUGGGACCAAUGGCAGCAUCAGCAAGUGUCUCUUCUUCAUUCAGGUUUGCCGGGAGUGUGUUUUCCUACACCCUUUGGGUGCGUGGAAAGGAAUUGUGUUCAUUUCUCCCUCAGCUCCGAUCAGUUCACAAUCAACAAGUAUUUACUGCAGUAUUUACGCCUCCAAAGUGCUUAGCACGGAGCAGGUAUGGCAGGGGUACAGGAAAAGAAAGGCACAGAAGCUCUAUAUUCAAGGCCCUUAGGCUUCACUUAAAAAGAACAACCCAUCAUUAUGCAACAUAAGACAGGUGCGCCACUGAAGAUGUGUGCCAUGUCAAAUAUACAAUCUAGGAUCCACAAGUCCCUCCUCUGGGCUUCCGUAGCUAAUGGUGUGCUUAUUGUAACAGCAUUUACUGAGUGCUGAUUAUGUAUCAGGCAGGUUCUCAUGCAUCAACUAAGUGUCAAAAGAGAUAGCUACUAUUUUUCAAAUAAAGAAAAUGGGCAUAAAAUAGACAUAGGUCAACAGAAGAGAAUAAAAAAAAAACCAUAGAAAUAAACCCAUAGGUAGAUGGUCAAUUAAUCUUCAGCAAAGGAGGCAAGAAUAUCCAACGGCAAAAGUCUCUUCAAUAAAUGGCUCUGGGAAAACUGGCCACCAACACACAAAAGAAUAAAACUGGACCACUUUCUUACACCACACACAAAAAUAAAUUCAAAAUGGACCAAAGACCUAAAUGUGAGACUUGAAACCACAAAAGUCCUAGAAGACAGCACAGGCAGUAAUUUCUCUGACAUCAGUCAUAGCAACAUUUUUCUAGAUGUGUCUCCUGAGGCAAGGGAAAUAAAAGCAAAAUUAAACUAUUGGGACUACAUCAAAAUAAAAAGCUUCUGCACAGUGAAGGAAACCAUCAACAAAGCUAAAAGGCCACCUACUGAAUGGGAGAAGAUAUUUGCAAAUGACAUAUCUGAUAAAGGGUUUGUGUCCAAAAUAAAGAACUUGUACAACUCAAAACCCCAAAAAACAAAUAAUCCAGUAUAAAAAUAGGCAGAACACAUUAAGAGCCAUUUCUCCAAAGAAGACAGCCAUAUGGCCAACAGACACAUGAAAAGAUUCUCAUGAUCACUUACCGUCAGGGAAAUGCAAAUCGAAACUACAAUAAGAUAUCACCUCACAUCUGUCAGAAUGGCUUAAGUCAAAAACACAAGAAACAACAAGUGUUGGUGAGGAUGUGGAGAAACGGGAACCCUCUUGCACUGUUGGUGGGGAUGCAAACUGGUGCAGCUACGGUGGAAAAUAGUCGGGAGGUUCCUCAACAUUUAAAAAUAGAACUACCCUAUGAUCAAGUAAUCACACUACUGGGCAUUUCCACAAAAAAUACAAAACCACUAAAUCAAGAGAUAUGUUCACACCUAUGGUUUAUUGCAGAAUUAUUUACAAUAGCCAAAUUAUGGAAGCAGCCCAAGUGUCCAAUGAUAAAUAUUUAUGCAAUGGAAUACUACUCGAGCAGGAAAAAAGAAUGAAAUCUUGCCAUUUGUAACAUGGGUAUUAUGCUAAGUGAAAUAAUUCAGUCGGAGAAAGGCAAAUACCAUGUGACUUCAUUCAUAGGUGGAAUUUAAGAAACAAAACAAAUGAGCAAAGGAAAAAAAAAUAGAGACAAACCAAGAAUCAGACUCAACUAUAGGGAACAAACUAAUGGUGACCAGAGGGGAGGCGGGUGGGGGAUGGGUGAGAUAGGUGAUGGGGAUUAAGGAGGGCACUUGCGAUGAGCCCUGGGUGAUGUAUGGAAGUGAUGAAUUACUAUGUUGUACACCUGAAACUAAUAUUACACUGUCUGAUAAUAACCCUGGAAUUAAAAUUAAGAGCUUAAUUUUAAAAAUUUGAAGUCAAAAAAUAAAAGCAAAUAAAUAAUUUUUUCAAGGAAAAAGCUCAAGGUCCCAUGGCUGGUAAGUGGUGGAUCAGGCCUCAUACACUGAGGCAGUGCAGCUUCUGAGGCAGCCUACCCUAGCCCCGGACUCAUAAGGACAUCGGUCUUUGUACAGGUCUGUUUUCUUCCUGGAGAAGGAGUAGCUCCUGUUUAUUGCCACAGUUCUCAACCCCACAGUGUUGAGAACACAGAAGCCAUUAUUUGAUAGUUGCUUAUUCAAGUGAUCUGGGGAGGGGCACCUGGGUGGCUCAGUCGGUUAAGCAUCUGACUCUUGGUUUGGGUUCGGGUCAUGAUCGCACGGUUCGUGAGUUUGAGCCCUGCAUCGGGCUCUGUGCAGACAGCAUGGAACCUACUUGAGAUUCUCUCUUUCCCUCUUUCUCUCUCUCUC